ensembl:lncRNA
GGGGGGGGGGGAACAUAACAAACUGCUUUUCCUUGGGAUGAGAAUGGGAGACCUAAUCCAGAAUGAAAUGUGCAAUCGUUUUUCCUGAGUGUAAAAGACUUGUUAUGAUUUUUUAUGAUGACUUCAGAAAUUCAGGUGUGCUACACCCGAUAGUAAUUAAAAAUCCAUGACAUGCCAAGGAAGAAAACAAACAUCUUUCCAUCAAACACACCUCUAAAUAACUCCUCCCAAUACCCUCACCCUGUUGGGAAGGAGCCUGUACCUUUUCUGGUUUCUUCCCAGAUAAGCUGAGCAACUGCAGGUGUAGCCACUGGUGUGCGGGCAGUGGGAAGCACGCUCUGGGCUGAUGGCAAAGGCUGCCUCUGCAAUGUGGGUGACUUCACUUGAGAAUGGAUCGCAUCCUCCUGCUUACCUGGGUCCCCUCUGGCAUCAUGGCACCAACGUCCAGUGUCCUGGGACAGCAGAUGUUGUCCUCAGAUUCUCCCGGUAAGUCCUGCAGCUCUGUGGUCUCAUCAUAGCCUGUUCACAUCAACACAUGAUGGACAAUGCAGUCACCCUUCCACCCUCCUCCCAUCACUGACAGGCCAAGGAGCCCCUCUUGGAUACAAGCUGCUUUCAGGAUAUGCACAGAAGCAUCAGUAUCAGCAAUGAAGGAGGAUUCACACUGCAAUCCAGACCUUCAGAGAAACAGUACAACUGUUUCCUUUUCUUCCUCCAGACAGAACAAAAAGGACUUACA